CCCUUCUGCACAAUAUUUAGUUUGGACUUGUGCUUUUGAAACACAAGACACUUCUGAGAAGGCCCUUCUCAGUCUAUGAGUAAAUCCUGGUUAGUUUGUUGUCGGGGUUUGAUUUGACUCAACCACAUGAUCGGAGUCAGGUGAUGGAAUUGGGAAGAAAAACUAAAAAAAGGACAAACAGUUAGCUGUAGGAGCUUAGCAGCUGCUCUCCCUUAGUGAGGAGCCGUGACCCGCUUGGAAAAUGGGUUCCUGUCCCAGGUCUCUGCUUUGGAGUUUAGGUGCAGCUUGUUUGAUGGGUAUUGUUGUUGGACAAACGACCACUGCCCAGGUCUCUACGGGAUCACCACUGGUAUCUGCUGGUGUUUCGUCAGCUGCUCCAAAUGCAACCACUGUCGGGGUCUCUACGGUAUCUACUACAGCUGUAACAGUAACAGCUGAAGUGCUGUCAACCACUGCAAACCCCACGGUGCCAUCUGCCACAACAGUAUCUGCUGAGGUUUCGUCCACCACCCAAACUGCAACUGUGUCCACUAUUCCAAGUAGGACCACUGUUCAGGUUUCUCCAGGACCAACAUCAGCUGUGACAGAGUCGGCUGGGGUAACAUCAGCUACCCCCCAUGGCACAGUACCUACCAGCAUGCUGUCUACUGCUCCAAACGUGACAGCGUCUGCUGGGGUUCCAUCAGCCACUCCAUUCGUAACCACCAUGGAGUCCACAAACUGCAGCGCAGUGAACACAACAGCGUGUACAGCUUGUUCACCAGGAACGUUUCCCAGCAAUGAGACAUUGGGUUGUGUCUGCUGCUCAGAGGGCUUCUGCGCAGACCCUAUUGCUUGCAUACCCUGUCCAGUGGGUCACUAUCAGCCUCGAGCUGGAAAACUGUCAUGUCUGCUUUGCCCACAAGGAUAUUACACUAAUUUAAUGAAAAGUGUUGUAUGCCUGCCCUGUCAGCCUGGCUCUUAUUCCAAUGAGUCUGGGGCACCAGCUUGCAGACCAUGUGGAAAAGGGCAUUUCAGCUUCCAGAAAAAUUCAGCAUUCUGCAUGCCCUGUCCACGUGGAUCAUUUUGCAAUACUACCAACUGCAGCAAUUGUACAAUUUGCCCCACUGGAGAAGAGGCCCUUACAGAAGCAUCUGAAGAAUGUGCACCUUGUCUGCCAGGUACAUAUAAAGGCCCCAGCAACAGCAAAUGUGAAAUCUGCAAUAUAGGAGAAUACCAAAUACGAAGGGGCAAGGAGAGCUGUGACAAAUGCCCAGAAAAUUAUUACUGUCCUAGUCCAGAUGUGAACCCAAUUGCGUGUCCUUCUAAUGCCUUCUGCCCAGCUGGGAGCACUCAACCACAAUAUUGUAUGGAAACAUUUCUUUAUAAGGCAGGAAACUCUUGUGAACUGGCUCCUCUAACCAUUGUAUUACUAGCCGUUUCUUCAGCAGGUGGAGUCCUUCUUGUGUCUGUAAUAAUUCUGAAACAAAGGCAAGAAAAUGGCAGGAAAACUUUAAAAUCUCCAUUACUUUCAAAAGGAGCGAGGCCAUACACAACUUAUGGUGUGACUGGGCGCACAGAACCAGUAUAUGCUGGCUGGUAGUUGGCUAGGAUUGUACAGAGUUGCAAAAAUCACAAGCCUUUUCUCAGUUUCUAUUCUCAUGUUUGGUGAUUUGAUAGAUGUGAAUUUAGGACUGUCUCUGGGCAGAAUGUAAGACAUUAUUAAUCCAUGGGGAUUUGUUUGAGUAGCCAAAACAUUUAAUUGUAGCCGUGAAUGAACAAAAAUGAAACUUAGAAAGUGAUUUGAUUUGUGCAGGUCUGGCUUAAUUCAAGAAUAAGAAUAGGUGCAUCCUUACGCAUUAUCACUCCCACCGCCAAGAGAGAAAAUUGUGUGUCAUGGCAAUCCUCUCAAUUUCAACAACAGACAAUACCAGUUUGGACAAUACAAGAUAUUACCUCACCCACCUUGUGUGUCUACUCUUCUGGGACCAACACAGCUACACCACUACUGUCUGCAGGAAUUAACACUUGCAGCUAAGGCUGGGAUCAGCUAGCUCCACCUCCUUACUGAGCAACAGAGGACUCACAGCAGAAUCAGCUCAUUGUCCAAACUGCUUAAUUGGCUGCAGGAACCAAGAGGCACACUCUUAAGCCCAGCAGCAGCAUUAGGCCAAUAGCUGCUUAGAACAUUCUCCCAGUAAGUUCCUCUGCUUACUUGUCCCCAGCCUUGCUCUUGCCUUCUUCCUGCUCUGGACCCAGACGUGCCUCAUUCCAGGUAACCCAGCUCUGACCCUCAACUCUGAUUCCUGAUUUCAACUCUGACCCCUCACUCCAGCUCUGACUCUAGACUUCUAUUCCUGGCUACCAACUCCUACUAUAGCCACUAGGCUUAACUCCUGCUCCAACCAGUAGGCACCACCACCCACAUUCCAGUCUCUCAUAUUGUGUUACUUUUAACAAUACUAAGUUUAAAAAUAUUGGUGUCUGAAUUUGUAAAUUGAUUGCAUCCCUCUAACCAUCUCAGUUUUUAGUCAAGGAACAGACUUUACUAGUAAUUUAGCUCAGUUCAAUCAAGAGUAAGGGCCAGAUUCUAUAUUGGGUCCUCAUCCUCUCCUAUAUAAUCUGAGAAGUAAUGUGGCAGUGAAUACCUGUAAGAACCUCAAUCCUGCCCUAGGGAAGAAAAGGAGCCAGAAAGCAUGCCAGACUCAUUGCCAAAUGACUCAAGUAUAUGGGAAGGAACUGUGGAGCUUUUCUGUUUUCAAAUAAAUUAGAGCAGGGCAUUUUUGGACUUUACCACCUGAAGUGCAUUGUAAAUUAGAUUGUAAGCUCACUGGAGCAAAGACCUUGGUUUAUGUGUUACCGUAGUAUGCCCAUCAGAUGUUGGAACCCUGCAAAAUAAAAAAAGCAUGGAUUUUUCAUACACUAGCCACUGGGAAUAAGGAUUCUAAGUAUAAGUGAGCAGAGUUACAGCUCUUCAAUUCUGGACAGGCAGUUUUUCAUAUUUAGGGCCUGACCCAACUCCUAAUGAAGUCAAUGGGAAUAUUUUGAUUGACUAAGGAGAGCUGGAAUGACCCCUUAGUGAGAAAGUGCUUUGGAACCAGGGAUGUCAGGUGAUGCAUUUUUUUCCCCACAAGAGCCAUCAUCAAACAGGAACAUUCCACAUGCAGUAGUUUUGUCUAUCUGCACACAAUUAAUUCAGAAUCAUUCUGACUGGAGCAGUAUUGGGCCAGAUACCUUUACAAUUAUUCCUUUCUUUUCCAAGAGUCACAAAACCUUUAACUUGUAUCAAAGUCACAAAGAUCUACAGCCUAUAUUAUAUAUAUAUAUAAAUAUAAAAUGCUUACCAGCAACAUUAUACUCCAGUGAAGUGUUCGUAUACUUAAUUGUCCUAAGAUUCUUUUAUUUUUAAAAAAUGGUCAAGUUCAGAAAAUGCCCCACUAGUGUAUUUACUCUUACAAUAUUACACAAUUAUUACAUUUCCUUCAAAUGAAAAAUCCUUGAGGCAUGCAUAUUAAGUGUCUGAACCUGAAAGUAACUGAAAUAUUGAAUCAGUUCAUACAAUAAACAUUUCAAAUGGGUUAUAAGA